GAUGAAACAAAACACUGUGUUGUGACCCUGACCAUUCUCUGUUCCUCCCAUUUGUCCUGAGACUGAACAAAUUACAGCAAAACUUGGGUUGCCUUAUGAAUAAUGGGGCGGUGGCCAAUGCACACAUCCUUAUCUUCAUCCACGGAGGGCUCAUCUAACCACCCCUGGUGUCUUCACUGCAGGUUUAUUGGGCACUUCCUAGCACCAGGCACUGCAAUAAGAAAUGGAGGUUAAACCAUGAAGAAACAUGGCUCUAGCCCUUAGGGAGCUCCCGGUCCUGCAGGUUUUCACUAUUUAUUUAUGACAAAUAUUCCACAUCCGUGAUUCUCUCUAGUCAAAACUUCUUUGAGACGAUGCUGUCGGCCUUGGCCAAUCGGAGAAUCGAAUCAUCUGACUCACCCAUCCUAUCGCCCCGCAGAUAGCAUAAGUUUUAAACUGGCCAUUAAACCUGCCCGUGACCUUGUCAGCCUCGGCCACGUUCAUCUGGAUGGAUGCGUGGUCCUUGGCACCGAUGAUGCGGUUGCUAGCGGAGCAUUUCCGCGGAACUUACAGGUCCACGAACUCGCCGGCGUUGUUCUGCAUUUCGAGGCUCCGCCUGCUGCCACCACACCGCGCACGCGAGAGAAAGCCGAGGGUUUGUCCUCUUAUGCCAAGUUAGGGCAGCCCUCAAAGCAGAUCUCGAAGGGAAGACGUCUACCGAGAGCGGA
rnacentral:lncRNA from 10 species